AGUAGUUGAUCAUGGCUCAGGAUGAACGCUGGCGGCACGCCUAACACAUGCAAGUCGAACGGAGUUUAUCGAAGCUUGCUUUGAUAAACUUAGUGGCGACGGGUGAGUAACACGUGAGCAACCUGCCUUUCAGAGAGGGAUAGCUUCUGGAAACGGAUGGUAAUACCUCAUAAUAUAUUGAUACGGCAUCGUAUUAAUAUCAAAGAUUUUAUCGCUGAAAGAUGGGCUCGCGUCUGAUUAGCUGGUUGGUGAGGUAACGGCCCACCAAGGCAACGAUCAGUAGCCGGACUGAGAGGUUGAACGGCCACAUUGGGACUGAGACACGGCCCAGACUCCUACGGGAGGCAGCAGUGGGGAAUAUUGCACAAUGGGCGCAAGCCUGAAUGCAGCGAUGCCGCGUGAGGGAAGAAGGUUUUCGGAUUGUAAACCUCUGUCAUCGGGGACGAAAAUGACGGUACCUGAGAAGGAAGCUCCGGCUAACUACGUGCCAGCAGCCGC
rnacentral:rRNA from 1 species